ACACUUACCUGGAAGGGGAGGUAGCAUGAUCACGAAGGUGGUUUUCCCAGGGCGAGGCUUAUCCAUUGCACUCCGGAUGUGUUGACCCCUGCGAUUUCCCCAAAUGCAGGAAAAGCGACUGCAUAAUUUGUGGUAGUGGGGGACUGCGAUCCGCGCUCUCCUCUG
ensembl:snRNA LOC120102001 U1 spliceosomal RNA